rnacentral:rRNA from 1 species
AUUGAACGCUGGCGGCAGGCCUAACACAUGCAAGUCGAGCGGCAGCGGGAAAGUAGCUUGCUACUUUUGCCGGCGAGCGGCGGACGGGUGAGUAAUGCCUGGGAAAUUGCCCAGUCGAGGGGGAUAACAGUUGGAAACGACUGCUAAUACCGCAUACGCCCUACGGGGGAAAGCAGGGGACCUUCGGGCCUUGCGCCACUGGAUAUGCCCAGGUGGGAUUAGCUAGUUGGUGAGGUAAUGGCUCACCAAGGCGACGAUCCCUAGCUGGUCUGAGAGGAUGAUCAGCCACACUGGAACUGAGACACGGUCCAGACUCCUACGGGAGGCAGCAGUGGGGAAUAUUGCACAAUGGGGGAAACCCUGAUGCAGCCAUGCCGCGUGUGUGAGGAAGGCCUUCGGGUUGUAAAGCACUUUCAGCGAGGAGGAAAGGUUGAUGCCUAAUACGUAUCAACUGUGACGUUACUCGCAGAAGAAGCACCGGCUAACUCCGUGCCAGCCGCCGCCGUAA